GCCCGGUUGGCUCAGUCGGUAGAGCGUGUGACUCUUAAGGUGUUUAGACACCCAAAGAUAUCUCAAGGUCGCGAGUUCGAGCCUCGCAUUGGGCU